CGACGAGAAUAACUUGGAGCGCCGCCAGAGGGGAACGUCGCUGCGGCUCCGGGAAUCAUGGGACAUACGUUUUUUCGCUCGCGAGGGUGAUGUCUGCUAUGCCGGGCGCUGACACCUGACACGGCUGACACCGACGCACUGACGAGGCGGGUGUUGUUUACGUGCGUCACUGCUCAAGACAUCAGGCGUUGAUAAACGUGAUCAAUGCAUGCAGGUUCACGAUGCAAUUUGAGGUGCCAAAAGGGCCUUGGACAAAACAGUUGGGCAACUUCCCUGCUGCCUUCAAUGAAGCGAAAAUUUUGUUUCACCAACAGCAGGCUGGUGCAUCCAAGCAUGGCAAGGAAGGAUACAGGAUGUACAAAAGUGACAAGGUGACAAAUGUGCUUCUUCAUUAUGGCCAGGACUUCGUUGUUGUAAAGGCGACAGUGGAGUCAUCUUUUACACUGCGAAAACUGAGGCGAACAGUUACGAGAAUUGGCGAUGAUGGAAACGUGACAGGAGGCCACUGCAUAUGCCCCGCAGGA